AACUAUUUAAUUGAUGUAACGGGAGAAUGAACAUUAUAAAUUAUAAAGUGAUAGAGCUAUUUUGUUACAUGCAAAGCGGGGAAAUAUGGUUAAAAUUAUCGAGUUUGUUUAUGUUAUGAUUAUGAUUCUCACCCUAUUUCUUAUUGCAACAAACAUUGAAGCAAUAUCAAGAUUUGCUUAUAAACAAUGUGUAAGUGAUGCAGAUUGUCCCAAAAAAAUGUGUCGUUAUCCUGAGAACGCAAAGUGUGUGUACCAAUCCAUAUGUAAAUGUGUUGGACCGAAGUUCAUCGAAAAAUUAUUCAUAUAACAUGUAAAUAUGCAUGAUUUUUUUUUUGUACUGUUUUAAUUAAAUAAAAUGAUCUUUUUAUUUCUUUUUAAUUAUUAGGAAUAAAUCAUUAGAAUAUGAAGAAAAGAGUAGUUUUGAUGCAUAUAAUGGUGCCUUGAAGUCGGAUCUCUCUGGACCUGAGAUUUGCAUGGUAAGGGAUUUUCAGGUCAUUGAAUCCAGAACGUUAGUUUGGACCUGAGAAGGUCUUUCAGUGCUCAUUAGGAAGGCAGAAGGCAAGGGUGAUAUUUAUGGGAAGAAAAUUUGCAUGUGGCCUCCUAUCAUUUCACGUCUUAUAUUUGCUAAUGAUUGUUUUCUCUUCUUUAGAGCAUCAGAUAAUGAAGUUAUGAUCAUGAAAAAUAUUUUAGUGACUUUCGAAGCAGCGUCUGAUAAAUAUCAUGGAUUGCCAUCUAUGGUUGGUCGGAGCAGAAAACAAUUUGAUUCAUUAAGGAUAGAAUUUGGAAGAAAAUGUAUUCUUGGAGUAGCAGGUGUUUAUCACAAGCAGGCGGAGAAAUUUUGAUUAAAUCAGUUCUUCAAUUGAUUUCAUCCUAUAUAAUGAGUAUUUUCUUAAUUCCAUCAA